rnacentral:lncRNA from 1 species
UUAACCCUGAGAACGUACGUAGUCAAAUGGCAGUCAUUCAAGUAUUUCAGAAAAAUUGUUAUGUUUAUUUUGUCAAUGUUCAUAUAUAUAAAUUAUAAAAUAAUUUUGUUGACUAGAUUAGUAUUUUUUUGGGGAUAAGUGACUAGAUUAAUAUAGGUUAUAAAAAUACCUUUUUUUGUCACAGAAAUACUUAAUUAAAAGAGCCAAAAAGA